rnacentral:tRNA from 1 species
AAAGUAGAAGUUUUUAAAAUAUUUGACCUGCAAUCAAAAGUAGAUAGAUCACCUAUCCUACUUUA